rnacentral:rRNA from 1 species
CCAGUAGUGUAUGCUUCUCCUAAAGACUAAGCCAUGCAUGCCUUCGAAUAAGAGGAAGCAAUUCUCUCUGAAUCUGCGAACGGCUCCGCAAACCAGUUGUAAACUACAGCAAGCAUAUUUCUGACUUUCGGGUUGGGAAUGAUAUGGAUAACCCUGGUAAUUCUGAGGCUAAUACAAGAUCGUACCACCUGGUCGACUGGGCAACCGGUAGGCUGGGGGACGUGCGGAAAAGGCAGCGGAGUACUGGGAAAGGAUGCACGUUCAGACCACCAUACAAACGGUAGUCGCGGGUCCCGCAAGGGCGAAGUGGCGUCCGGGUGGCUCUUGCUUUGUGCUUCUGACCUAUCAACUUGAUGGCAGCGUAAUGGACAUGCCAUGGUUACAACGGGUACAGAGGAUAAGGGUUCGAUCCUGGAGAGUGGGCCUGAGAGAUUGCUCAUACUUCUAAGGAAGGCAGCAGGCGCGCAACGUUCCCAUUGGACAAUGUCCGAGGGCGUUAGGGGACAUAUGAAUGCCUGCCAAUUGGUGGGCAAUUCAAAUGGGACUGUUCUAAACAUCCUA